GUCUGUAUGAUAUUAUAUAUAAAGUCUGGCCUGCCCACUGAAAAUUUAAAGGGCCGCGGUAAUUUGACCGUGCGAAGGUAGCAUAAUCAUUAGUCUUUUAAUUGGAGGCUUGCAUGAAUGGUUGAAUGAGGGACAUUCUGUCUUUUUUAAAAAAAUGAAUUUAACUUUUAAGUGAAAAGGCUUAAAUUUUCUAGUGGGACGAUAAGACCCUAUAAAACUUUAUAUGAUUUAUUUAAGUUAAGUUUAUUAAGUUAAAAUUUAUUUUAUUUGAUUUAUAUUUCGUUGGGGAGAUGAUGAUAAAAUUUGUAACUGUCUUAAAAAUAAAAUAGUUAUAACUAUGUUUUGAUCCUUUAGUAGAGAUUAAAAGAUUAAGUUACUUUAGGGAUAACAGCGUAAUUUUCUUUGAGAGUUCUUAUCGACAAGAGUAGUUGCGACCUCGAUGUUGAAUUAAAAUUUUAGGUGGGCGCAGCUGUUCACCUUGUGGGUCUGUUCGACCUUUAAAAUUUUACAUGAUUUGAGUUCAAACCGGUGUGAG
rnacentral:rRNA from 2 species